rnacentral:tRNA from 6 species
GCCCAGGUGGCGGAACUGGCAGACGCGCUAGCUUGAGGGGCUAGUGUCCUAUUACGGACGUGGAGGUUCGAAUCCUCUCCUGGGCA